rnacentral:rRNA from 1 species
AUUGAACGCUGGCGGCAGGCCUAACACAUGCAAGUCGAACGAGUGGCGGACGGGUGAGUAAUGUCUGGGAAACUGCCUGAUGGAGGGGGAUAACUACUGGAAACGGUAGCUAAUACCGCAUACCAUCGGAUGUGCCCAGAUGGGAUUCGCUUGUUGGUGGGGUAACGGAUCAACAAGGCGACGAACCCUAGCUGGUCUGAGAGGAUGACCAGCCACACUUGAACUGAGACACGGUCCAGGCGCCUACGGGAGGCAGCAGUGGGGAAUAUUGCACAAUGGGCGCAAGCCUGAUGCAGCCGUGCCGCGUGUAUGAAGAAGGCCUUCGGGUUGUAAAUUACUUUCAGCGGGGAGGCGUUACCCGCAGAAGAAGCGCCGGCUAACUCCGUGCCAGCCGGCGCGGUAAUAC